rnacentral:rRNA from 1 species
CGCGUAGGCGGAUCUUUAAGUCAGGGGUGAAAUCCCGGGGCUCAACCUCAGAACUGCCCUUGAUACUGGAGAUCUUGAGUCCGGGAGAGGUUAGUGGAAUUCCCAGUGUAGAGGUGAAAUUCGUAGAUAUUGGGAAGAACACCAGUGGCGAAGGCGGCUAACUGGUCCGGUACUGACGCUGAGGUGCGAAAGCGUGGGGAGCAAACA